UGUGCUAACAUUUUAAGAACAUCAUUGACCAGACAGCCUUGACUUCUAUUAAAUUUGCUACAAGUAGGCCUACAUUUGUUUACAACGGUGAGAGAAUUUCUGAAAAUGUUUCCUGUUAACUGGAGUAAGGAAUAGUCUAAUGUAGUCCAAGACCUGACUGUAUAUAUUUACCAUCAACAAACACUAAAUAAAAAUAAAUAUUAAUAUUAUUUGUGUUUAAUAAUAGUAUUAAUAUUAUUAAAUAUUAAUCUUAGUUGGAAAAAAAAACAUAAUUUAAUCUUUAUAAUAUCUUAAAUUAUUGUCUUUCCUUAUUUUGCCUGUAUAUUAUCUGUUGAUAAAAAUUGAUUACAGUGUCUAAACGAUGCUACCCAACCUCAUGAAUGUGCCUAUAAAUAGUACGCCAAAUAAAAACGAAAACACGUGGUAUAGAUACGCAAAAAAAAAGUCUUUGGCUUGUAUAUGCUACUCGAUGAAUAGGAUGCGUAUCAUAUGUAGGCGAGUGCUGCGUAUCACAUGCACGCCAACAAAUUUCGUAUCAUAUGCACGCGAAAGCUGCGUGUUAUAUGCACGCCAAACACUCGCGUAUCAGUACCACGAGUUUUCGUUUUUAUUUGACGAGACUGUCUAAAGUUCAACAUCAUUACGGUAACGUAAAGUGACGUGAGUUUUGCUUCAGGUUUUAUGAAGAAGGGGAAUUCUGACAUAUUUAGCAUGCUGCUUUUCGGCUGCUAGUAUAGGGAGAAAGUGGAGAGGAUGCAAUAAAACGCGAAGCGAUCGAUCAUUGAGCCGAACGUUUCUUGCCAGAGUUUCCCGUCCUGUGCCAGGAAGACACCACUAAGGCCGGUCCCUGAGUUUGAGACAUAAGCAGUCCUUGCUGUUACCUUGAAGACUGUUGAGGAGGGAGAACAGGUACAGCAGGGGUGUUUUGGCUGGGCCCCAGGCGACAAAGGUUAGAAUCCAGGUAAGUCCCAGCAGAAA